rnacentral:rRNA from 1 species
GAUGAACGCUGGCGGCGUGCCUAAUACAUGCAAGUCGAGCGAACAGAUAAGGAGCUUGCUCCUUUGACGUUAGCGGCGGACGGGUGAGUAACACGUGGGUAACCUACCUAUAAGACUGGGAUAUCUUCGGGAAACCGGAGCUAAUACCGGAUAACAUUUGGAACCGCAUGGUUCUAAAGUGAAAGAUGGUUUUGCUAUCACUUAUAGAUGGACCCGCGCCGUAUUAGCUAGUUGGUAAGGUAACGGCUUACCAAGGCGACGAUACGUAGCCGACCUGAGAGGGUGAUCGGCCACACUGGAACUGAGACACGGUCCAGACUCCUACGGGAGGCAGCAGUAGGGAAUCUUCCGCAAUGGGCGAAAGCCUGACGGAGCAACGCCGCGUGAGUGAUGAAGGGUUUCGGCUCGUAAAACUCUGUUAUUAGGGAAGAACAAACGUGUAAGUAACUGUGCACGUCUUGACGGUACCUAAUCAGAAAGCCACGGCUAACUACGUG